GGGGAAUCUUGGACAAUGGGGGCAACCCUGAUCCAGCGAUGCCGCGUGAGCGAAGAAGGCCUUAGGGUUGUAAAGCUCUUUCGCCCGCGACGAUGAUGACGGUAGCGGGAGAAGAAGCCCCGGCUAACUACGUGCCAGCAGCCGCGGUAAUACGUAGGGAGCAAGCGUUGUUCGGCUUUACUGGGCGUAAAGGGCGCGUAGGCGGCGCGGUAAGUCACUUGUGAAAUCUCUGAGCUUAACUCAGAACGGCCAAGUGAUACUGCUGUGCUAGAGUGCGGAAGAGGCAACCGGAAUUCUUGGUGUAGCGGUGAAAUGCGUAGAUAUCAAGAGGAACACCUGAGGCGAAGGCGGGUUGCUGGGCCGACACUGACGCUGAUGCGCGAAAGCCAGGGGAGCAAACG
rnacentral:rRNA from 1 species